rnacentral:rRNA from 1 species
AUGCCGUCCUUGGGUGGUUGUCGUGCGGGAGUGGGUGUCUACGCCGCUCAUUUGGCUGGGCGCGACGACAGAGGAGGAGGCGGCCUACCUCAAGCAGUGGAUGGGGCGCGUGCCGGAGGAGGAGUGAGAGGACGAGGAGGACCACAUGCAGCUGGGGGCGAGGAGGAGGAGCGCUGGCAGCGUUGUGUGCGCGAGGAGAAGGAGGAGUGGCAGUAUGAGGAGGACGAGGAGGCGCGCACUAUGUCAGUCAGAGCCGUCGUAGCAGCAGACGCCAGAGCAGGCGACGUUGGUGUCCUACCAGCGGGCUUCCCUUGGGUGCGUUUGGUUCAGGGGAUGGGCUAA